rnacentral:rRNA from 1 species
UGCCAGCAGCCGCGGUAAUACGUAGGUGGCGAGCGUUAUUCGGAUUUAUUGGGCGUAAAGGGUUCGUAGGAGGUCGUGCAAGUCUGAUGUGAAAGCCCGGGGCUCAACCCCGGAAGUGCAUUGGAUACUGGCAGUCUUGAGUAUGGGAGAGGAAAGUGGAAUUCCGAGUGUAGGGGUGAAAUCCGUAGAUAUUCGGAGGAACACCAGUGGCGAAGGCGGCUUUCUGGACCGAUACUGACGCUGAGACGCGAAAGCGUGGGGAGCAAACAGGAUUAGAUA